GACUGCCGUGGAUAACACGGAGGAAGUGGGGAUGACGUCAAAUCAUCAUGCCCCUUAUGAUCUGGGCUACACACGUGCUACAAUGGUCGGUACAACGGGCAGCGAAAGAGUAAUCUGGAGCGAAUCCUAAAAAGCCGAUCCCAGUUCGGAUUGUGGGCUGAAACUCGCCCACAUGAAGUUGGAGUUGCUAGUAAUCGCGAAUCAGAAUGUCGCGGUGAAUGCGUUCCCGGGUCUU
rnacentral:rRNA from 1 species